rnacentral:tRNA from 1 species
GCCUGGGUGGUUCAGUCAGUUAAGCGUCUGACUUCGGCUCAGGUCAUGUUCUCACGGCUUGCGGGUUCGAGCCCCGCAUCGGGCU